rnacentral:rRNA from 1 species
AUUGAACGCUGGCGGCAGGCCUAACACAUGCAAGUCGAGCGGAUGAAGGGAGCUUGCUCCUGGAUUCAGCGGCGGACGGGUGAGUAAUGCCUAGGAAUCUGCCUGGUAGUGGGGAAUAACGUCCGUAAACGGGCGCUAAUACCGCAUACGUCCUGAGGGAGAAAGUGGGGGAUCUUCGGACCUCACGCUAUCAGAUGAGCCUAGGUCGGAUUAGCUAGUUGGUGGGGUAAAGGCCUACCAAGGCGACGAUCCGUAACUGGUCUGAGAGGAUGAUCAGUCACACUGGAACUGAGACACGGUCCAGACUCCUACGGGAGGCAGCAGUGGGGAAUAUUGGACAAUGGGCGAAAGCCUGAUCCAGCCAUGCCGCGUGUGUGAAGAAGGUCUUCGGAUUGUAAAGCACUGUAAGUUGGGAGGAAGGGCAGUAAGUUAAUACCUUGCUGUUUUGACGUUACCAACAGAAUAAGCACCGGCUAACUUCGUG